rnacentral:misc_RNA from 1 species
AUUAAUAUCUCCUGUAUAACAUUGCUUGUAUUCUUUCCUUCCAGAAUAAGCUUUGCUAUAUUAGUCAAUGGGCCAUUCGCCAAAAUAGUAAUUUUCGAUCCUGGAUCAAGUGAUUUCACCACUGAUUCCAAUACUUCCAAUGCUAAAGGUUGUCUGAGUUCAGGAUGAUCAGUAUCUCGAGGAGCUCCAAAUUUUACAGAAUUUUCUCCUGUGUAUCUCCUAGGACUUCGAGGUAAAGAACGGGCUAAACCAUACAGAGUGUCCGAGUCUAGGUAUCCACCACUACCUUGUGGAAUGGCCUUGCUGUAUCUGCAGUCUCCAACUGCAGAGGAAACCAUAUCAGACUGGUUCAUUGCGAAUCCAUCUCCAAG